rnacentral:rRNA from 1 species
ACCUAAAAAGCUAGCCUAACUUCAACAAAAACAACCCCUUUUAAAUUAAAACCCCCUAAAACAACAAACAAAGCAUUUUACCUCCACAGUACUUGGGCGACAGAACAGGAAAUUAAGAGCAAUAGAGAAAGUACCGCAAGGGAAAGCUGAAAGAGAAAUGAAACAAAUACCCCAAGCCACAGAAAGCAGAGAUUACCCCUCGUACCUUUUGCAUCAUGAUUUAGCAAGAACCCCUGAGCAAAGUGAAACUUUAGUUCAGCCCCCCGAAACUAGACGAGCUACUUCAAGACAGCCUUGUAUAAUACCCGAAGGGCACACCCGUCUCUGUCGCAAAAGAGUGGGACGAUCUUCAAGUAGAGGUGACAAACCUAUCGAGCCUAGUUAUAGCUGGUUGUUUAAGAAGUGAAUUUAAGUUCAGCCUCCUGCCCCCCUACAUCAACGGCGCCCACGCCCCCACAGAUUGACAGCGGACAAGAGAGUUAGUCAAAGAGGGUACAGCCCCUUUGAAAAAGGACACAACCUCCACGGGUGAUAAAAGAUCAAAUUCCACUAAGGAAACCUAUUCUAGUAGGCCUAAAAGCAGCCACCUAAAAAGAAAGCGUUACAGCUCCUAUAGACCCAAUCCCCUAAUACCGAACACAACUCUUCACUCCCCCCUCACUAUUAAACCCUCCCAUCAAGCCUGGGAGAGACCCUGCUAAAAUGAGUAAUAAGGGGGUACGCCCCUCUCCACCACACAUGUGUAAGUCGGAACGGACCCACCCCCGAUAACUAACGGCCCCCCAAAAGAGGUUAAUGUCGAACCACAUAAAAACCAAGAAAACCUGACACGUAAUAGUCGUUAACCCAACACAGGUGUGUGCCCCGGAAAGACUUAACUAAAGGGAAGGAACUCGGCAAACACAAGCCUCGCCUGUUUACCAAAAACAUCGCCUCUUGCAAAAUAAACGAAUAAGAGGUCCAGCCUGCCCAGUGACUAUACGUUAAACGGCCGCGGUAUCCUGACCGUGCAAAGGUAGCGCAAUAAAUUGUCUCUUAAUUGGAGACUAGUAUGAAUGGCAUCACGAGGGCUUAACUGUCUCCCCUUUAAAGUCAAUGAAAUUGAUCUCCCCGUGCAGAAGCGGGGAUACACUCGUAAGACGAGAAGACCCUAUGGAGCUUAAGACAUAAAGCAACCUAUGUUAAACACCCCUAAUAAAGGAAUAAAACAAGAUUACCAUUGCUGGAAUGUUUUCGGUUGGGGCGACCACGGGGAAAAACAAAACCCCCACAUGGACCAGGGCCACUCAGCCCUAAUACAUAGACCCACAGGUCAAAUCAACAGUAAUUCUGACCACCUAAGACCCGGCACAAGCCGAUUAAUGGAACUAGUUACCCUAGGGAUAACAGCGCAAUCCUCUCCAAGAGCCCUCAUCGACGAGGGGGUUUACGACCUCGAUGUUGGAUCAGGACAUCCUGAUGGUGCAGCCGCUAUCAAGGGUUCGUUUGUUCAACGACUAAAGUCCUACGCGAUCUGAGUUCAGACCGGAGUAAUCCAGGUCAGUUUCUAUCUACGCAUUGAUUUUUUCUAGUACGAAAGGACCGAAAAGAAUGAAGCCCAUGCUAAAAGUACGCUUCACCUCCCACUAAUGAAUUCAAAUAAAAUAGAAAGGAAGCAAAACCCCAAGCUCAAAAAUAGAGCAA